UACGAAGGUCCCGAGCGUUAUCCGGAUUUAUUGGGUUUAAAGGGUGCGUAGGCGGGUUAUUAAGUCAGUGGUGAAAGCCUACAGCUUAACAGUAGAAUUGCCAUUGAUACUGAUGAUCUUGAGUACGAUUGAGGUAGGCGGAAUGUGUCAUGUAGCGGUGAAAUGCUUAGAUAUGACACAGAACACCGAUUGCGAAGGCAGCUUACUAAGUCGUAACUGACGCUGAUGCACGAAAGCGUGGGGAGCAAACAGG
rnacentral:rRNA from 1 species